GUGAAGGAGGGACGUGUUCUGCCCCCCAUCAUCUCUCCCCAGCAGUGUCCUGGGUCUGGCCCCUAGCUACAGCUGGUACCACCAUGGAUUCAGGACCUGUGCCAACCUUGGGCUCACAGCAGGCAGAGCAUGCAAAGACAUCAAGUCCACCAGCAGUACAGCACUGGGGCAGAGAGCAAAUGAAGCUAAGAGACCAAAUGUCCAGCAUGAACCCGCUGGGGGAGGGGCCAGGAUGUAAGCAGUAUAACUCCCAGGAGGCUGUGGGUACCCUUGGCCUAAUGCAGGCAUUAGUGGGUAGGUGGGGUAAAGGGAGGAUUCAUAGGAGCCUCUGGUGAGAAAUGGGGUCUUGAGUUGCUGGCAUAGUGUGCUGGUCUCACCUGGGACACUGGUGAACACCCCUAUACCCCCACACACACACACACACACCAACUGUGUGCUCAGUUGAGUGGUCCCUGGGAAGGCCCCUUUCUUUCUCAUGAUAGCUGCAAAUCUGUGCCUGGUGUUGGGCGGGUGUAGAGCAAUAUGGGCAGGAGAGCUCCUGGGAAAGAGUGCCACAGGGUUCAUAGGGAGCACCGCCUUGAUCAGGGAGGAUGCUGUGGGACCACCAUGCCAAGUAGUGAGAUGGGGCUAGCCUUCUCCACUGCUUCCCUGCAGGACCUCCUCACUUCGGUGGAACUCAGGCACCAAGGAGCGCAUGCUCAUCAAGGUCGCUGACAGGGAGCCCAGCUUCCUCACUCCUCAGGGCAAUGGCUACUCUUCAGAUGGCCAGCCUGGGAGCCGCCCCCGCAGACCCUCUGGCAGCCAGCAUUCGCCCAACCUACAGACAUUCACCCAGGACUCGGAAGGCGCUGUCUUCUUCCCUGAGAGGCGACCUUCGCCCUUCCUGAGAAGGGCUGAACUCUCCGGGAGCUGCUCCCCACUGCUCACGCAGCCUCGAAAGUCCUCCAGUGACUCACAGCCCUCUUCCCCACGCUAUGGCUAUGAGCCCCCUCUCUAUGAGGAGCCCCCUAUGGAGUAUCAGGCCCCCAUCUAUGAUGAGCCCCCCAUGGACGUACAGUUCGAGGCUGGUGGCCCCUACCAGGCUGGCUCCCCACAGAGGUCGCCCAGCCGCAAGCCCCGCCCCUUCUUGCCCGGGGCCAAGCAGGCCCCUGCCUCCCCCUGCCAGCAGCUGGUGCGCACUAAACAGAAGUGCCCUGAGCGCUUCCUGAGCCUGGAGUACAGUCCUGCAGGCAAAGAGUAUGUAAGGCAGCUGGUGUACGUGGAGCAGGCCGGCUCUAGCCCCAAGCUGCAUGCAGGCCCCCGGCACAAAUAUGCUCCCAACCCUGGUGGUGGCUCCUACUCACUGCAGCCCAGCCCUUGCCUGCUGAGGGACCAACGCCUAGGGAUCAGGUCUGGAGACUACAGCACCAUGGAGGGACCCGAGCCCCGGCUGAGCCAACCACCCACACCACUGCCCCCAGCCCAGGAGGACACCAUGUCUUGGUCCAGCCAGCAGGACACCAUGUCUUCCACGGGCUACUCCCCAGGCACACGUAAGAGGAAGAGCAGAAAGCCCUCUCUGUGCCAAACUCCUGGCGCCCCCUCCACGGAUGGCCCAGGGGACCUACUGGGUGAGCAGCCUCUGGCUGAGGAGCGCUCUCCAUGUGGGCCCAGCCUUGCCCAGAUGAAGCGUGCAGAGGCUGAAGUGGACGUAGCACGGGGUAUGGCCGAGCCUUUCCUGGCACAGGCGCAGCUGGCCUGGGAGGCACAGCAGGCCCACUUUCACAUGAAGCAGAGGGGCAGCUGGGACUCCCAGCAGGAUGGCUCUGGCUACGAGAGUGAUGGUGCUGUGCCACUACCCAUGCCCGGACCUGUGGUACGUGCCUUCAGUGAGGAUGAGGCACUGGCGCAGCAGGAUAGCAAGCAUUGGAAGCGGAAUACUUUCGAGAAGCUCGGCUUCCCCCAGAUCCUGCUGGAGAAGAGCGUCUCUGUGCAGACCAACUUGGCCUCACCAGAACCUUACCUCCACCCCUCACAGGUGAGGAGUACUUGGUGGGCAGAUGGGGACCCUGGGCCCAUAAGACCCCCAAGUCCCAGCCUAGAGCCUGGGAUCAGCUGCAGGCAGAAUGGGGCUGGGUGCACCUGGCAUCCACAAGGUGUGUGUGGCACUGAGCGUGUUCAGAGCCUGGCCUCUGAACGUCCAGCACACCACUGGCAGGGAGGGCAUCUUCACGGAACACCCCACUCAGGCCACCCACCACCAGGCAUAGGGCUUCCUGGACCUUGGCCACCAGGGAGUUUCAAGCCUUGCCUACGGGACACAGCAGCUGAGGGCAACUGGCAGCCAGCUCUGGGACUAUUGUACUCCUGGGGAGCUGGGCAGGUGGGGCAUCAGCAUUCUUUGGUGGCUCUGGAACUAUCUCCAAGCACGUCUCCCUCAGGCAGGAAGAGCUGCUAGUGAGGUAGUGACUGGGUGGUUGCCAGACAUCACAGCCAGAGCUGGAGCCCAAGCCCAAGCCCAAGCCCAGCCUGCUGUGUCCUCCCCAUACAGUGCCAGAGCACACAUCAGUCAGUGCCCCACAGAGCCCACGAGUACCUCUGUUCAGCAGCAGGUACCUGAGUGUCCACCUGCAGGUCUUCCCUUCUGGAGAUCACCAGGCAAUUCAGAUUUGAUGGCUCUAAUGUCCUCAUUCCCACUUCUAGCUUCCACCUUUCACACUGGUUGACUAGAGACACAGGCCAAGCCUGAGGGUGACCUGGAAUCUGGUUGGUUUGCUUAGUGGGCCCAGGUUCCAAGGAAGUUAAAGUGAAAAUCUUAAGGCCUCCUGGACAUGUAUGGCAGGCCCACCUUUGCCCUGCUGGGGAAGGCCUCUGUGACCUGUGGGUAGCCAGCUUCCCAGGCCCUUCAGGCUAGUGAGCUCAGAGCCACAUCCAGCCAGACUUUCCAUCCACUGCUCAUAAACUGGUAGGAUGACAGGGCAGAUGGGAGAGGCAACCUUGGGAAACAGUGAGCAGACAGAAAGCUACCUCUAAUGGAAUGGGCAGGUCAAGAGCAGAGCAGAGGGAGAGACCUGCAGAGGCCAGGCCCACUGGGGUCCUGCAGAGAUGGGAGCAGGGCUCGAGAGCCACCCCUGCCUGUCCCUGCCCUCUCUCCCUGGGUACCUGACAGUGCAGCUGUCCUGCUGCCACCCCACCUGGGGUUUUGAAGCUCAGCUUCUUGCUAUGUUAGACUGGCCACGCCACACCUGGCUGGCUCACACCUCUUGGGACUGUGAUCCAAGUGGGCCCAGCUGCCCACUCCAUCCCUACCCCCGAUGGCACAGCCCAUUUGUCCUUCCCAGUCUGAGGACUUAGGAGCCUGUGCCCAGUUUGAGAGCAGCCGGCAGAACCGUAGCGCGAUGCCCAGCUCCAGCUGUGUCUUCCCCACCUUCACGCUGCGCAAGCCCUCCUCAGAGACGGACAUCGAGAACUGGGCCUCCAAGCACUUCAACAAGCACACCCAGGGCCUCUUUCGACGGAAGGUGUCCAUCGCCAACAUGCUGGCCUGGAGCAGUGAGUCCAUCAAGAAGCCCAUGAUUGUGACCAACGACCGGCAUGUGAAGAAAGAGGCCUGUGAGAUCUUCAAGCUGAUCCAGAUGUACAUGGGCGACCGGCGGGCCAAGGCAGACCCACUGCAUGUGGCCCUCGAGAUUGCCACUAAAGGCUGGAGCGUGCAGGGCCUCCGGGAUGAGCUCUACAUCCAGCUGUGCAGGCAGACCACCGAGAACUUCCGCCUCGAGAGCCUGGCCCGUGGCUGGGAGCUCAUGGCCAUCUGCCUGGCCUUCUUCCCGCCCACACCCAAGUUCCACUCCUACCUAGAGGGAUACAUCUACCGGCACAUGGACCCUGUCAAUGACACCAAAGGUAAGACCCAGUGUGCAGGACCCUUGGCACCCCUAGGGUCUGCUGCAACUGAGGUAAGGGCUGUGGAGAGGGCUCCCAGCCAUUCUGGGCAACACCCGCCCAGUCCCCUAUCCUCACACCCCACCAGACCUGGCACCACAUAGGAGUGGUACUUCUAAGAAGAUGCAUGUCCCCUAGGAGACCCCACACCCAGCUUUCAGUGGUUUGUGGGCAUCCUCAGGGAACCCUACCUUGGCUCUGAGAAGAGCCCUAGGCAGCCCUGGCAGAUGAGGGCAUAUGGCCUGCCCUUUGAUGCCUGCCCAGUUUGGCUUCUGUCACCCUGCAGUAUAAGGGCAGCUGCACCGUGAGGCUUAAGCUGUGUAUUCUAGGCAGGGAGGGGCAUGGUGGCCACAGUGCAUCUGCCACAACUCAAUCACAGGCUUCCCACACACAAGUCUGUGGAGAUCAGCUGGUCUCCAGGGCACUAUGAGCUGAGCUGCCCUGAGGGCCAGAGGUUCAGGCCAGCACAGGUGUCCACUUGCUGAUGGCUGCCAGGUGUCAAAUAGAAGGCCCCCAGAUGGGAUGCACUAGGUCUGUCGGGCCCAGGCCGUGGUGUUUCAGCUGGGCAGUCCCCAUGUGAUAAACUAGUGGCUGGCCCAAGCCCUGGGAUGGACAGAGUGGGCAUGGGGCAAGGAUACAGGCAGUCCCAGCUGUAGCAGGCUGUGUCCCACAUGAUGCUCGUGAGCAUCUGUAGGACACAGCCGUAGCAUUGACGGCCAGACACGCAUACUUGUGUUCAGGUACACGUACAUGUACAGAUGCAUCCCUGCCAGGGCGGACAUGUUAGCUCUUCUGGGUUGUCCAGCCUCUGCUGAGGUGGAAACUGUGCUCCCUUCUAGGCCUUGCCCCCAGCUCAGGCAUGGGAAAGGCAGCUCUCAGGCUGCCAUGGGGCCCUCAGUGUGCAUGCAAACUUGAGGGAGGGGGUUCUGGAGAAGGUAUGUCAGGCACAGGAACCACCAGCUCCUCAGACACUUGUAAACAGUUUUGGAAAACAUGCUAUUCCUGCCCAUGUGUGCACCUGCAACACACAUUGCAGCAGAUACAGACUGACCUGGGGCCUGGACUGCACUGGGGCCUCAGGGACCCCAUUCCUUGAUCUUCUUGGACCUCUCUAGGCACUGGUAUAGUCCUGGGGCUUCCUAGGUCACCAUCUUGCCUUCUUGAGAAAGGGCCUUGACAUGCACCUUGACAUGGGAGCUGUAGGAAUGUGUCUGCACUGCUCAGGACAGCACUGGGCCCACAGAUCCGAGAGCCUGCUGAGUGAAAACCAAGUGAGUGGGCAGUAGUUGGCAAACAGUCAGAGGCCUGGGUUCCUUGCUCUGCCUGGGCCAGCUGACCAGCAAGUAUGUGGCUGGGCCGUCCCGCCAUCCAGGGCUUCCCAGAAGAGUUUGUGCUUUAGGCCCCAUGGAGGAGCCCCCAGGAUCUCCCACAUACAAAGGUACGCAUACUUUUCUCUUAGAGUCGCACACCCACAGGGCCCUGUGUUGCACGUCAGAGGGAAGCAGGCUCAGCUUUGAGGCUCCUAUGUAAGGCCCACAAGGUCUCAGAGGACCAUGUGGGCUACAGGGGGAUGGGCUCUGUGUGGUUCUGCUAGCAUUCAAACUGCCCUCACAGCCAAAACCCCAUCUCUAGUACUGGGGACCCCAACCUAGAUUUGCCUGUCCAAGGUUGUACUCCACCCUGAGCCCAGAGAAGAGACUUCUACACACAAGGUGGCCGCCCCUUCUUCAAUAGGCCUCAUGUUCACUCCAGACAGCGCACAGUCCCUGGGAGAUGCCAGUUUCCACAUGUAAGAAAUAUUGGUCAAAAAUGUGGUACUGCUGGGGGUGGUAGUGACACCUAUAAUUCCAGCUACUUAGGUGGCUGAGGCAGGAGAAUCACAAGUUCAAAGCCAGACUCAAUAACUUACUGAGACCCUGUCUCAAAAUAAAAUAAAAAAGGUUGGAAUUGUAGCUCAGUGUAGUAGUGUGUCCCUGGGUUCUAUCGUAGUACUGAGAAUAAAAAUAAAGAAAGAACAUGGGUCCUGGCUGCCUUAUCAGCCCAGAAAGAUGUAGACCAUGCUCUGGAAGACCAACCAGUUGACCACAUAGCACCUAGAAGAAUGAGACCACAGCAGAGGGACCCAUGAUGAGGGAAGUGCUCGGCUUGGCUCCUGGACCUGGCACUGGCCCUGGCCCCGGCCCCGGCCCCGAACCCGAACCACUUGCCUUGGCCUCAGGAAACUUGAUCAACUUGUUUAUCAGCAUUCGUGUGACCUCCACUCUGUGAUCACCAUCCCAGGACCAAGGUACUAUGAGGUAACCCCCAUUUAACCUGUGUCAGGCACUAGGAGGUUCUCCUGGUUGUCCUCAGGAGCCCCUCAGUUAGACUAACCCAGAUGGGGAGGGUGCUUGGCCCUGGAUCAGGAAGCUACAGGAGCCAGGUGUGUGGAACACACCUGUGGUCCCAGCAACCUGGGAAGCUGAGGCAGGAGGAAGGACUAGGCAGGUGGCUCAGUGGUGAAACACCCCUGAUUCAAUUUCCAGUACCCCGCCCCCCAUAAAAAAAAAAUAAGAAAAAGAAAUUGCGGGAGAAGUCCUGCAAAUGCCAUGGGAGACUGAAGCCUGGAGGGAUUCUAGUGCUGCCGAAGCUUGUGCUCUCGGUGAGACUUCUGGCAAAGCACAACAGGAAGUUAGCAAAAGGGCGGAGAUGAUGAAGAUGGUAGUAGAAACCAACACAAGGGAACACAGAACAGUGGCUGAUGAAACAAAAAACUGAUUCUUGGGUAAAUCUACAGCCAAACUGACAAGGACAAAAUGAGAGAAGAAAUGAAUCACCAAAACCAAGAGUGAGAGGUCCUGCCACUGCAGGCCCUGCAGGUGCUGAAGGGGUAGCAAUCAGGUAUAGUGAACCUUUUGCUAAGGAAUUCAAAAUGGACAGAUUCCUCAGGUGACCCAGGCUGCCAGAGGUCACUCAAAGAGAAACAGAAAAGUUAUAUGUCCAGUAAGGAGAUUGCAUUUGUACCUAAAAAUCCAGGCCUAAAUGGCUUCACUGGUGAAUUCUACCAAACACUUUAUUGUUUGUGCAGCAAUUCUGUGGAAUGUCUCCCAGAAAAAUGAAGUGGAGGGCUGGGGUUGUGGCUCAGAGGUACAGCACUCACCUAGCAUGUGUGAGGCACUGGGUUCCAUCUUCAGCACCACAUAAAAAAGAUAUUGUGUCCACCUAUAACUAAAACAUAAAUAUUAAAAAAAAAUGAAGUAGAGAGAAUGUUUCCUGAUUCACUCAUGCUAAAAUUAGAGAAGAACAUUAUAAGAAAGAAUCCCUCAUGAACAAGGAAACAAAAAUUUUAGCAAUAUUUUAUCAGGUUGAGUACAACAGUAUAUAAAGGAGAUAAUAUAUCUUGACCAAGUGAAGUUUAUCCUAGGAAUCGAGGAACGAAAGAUAGGUUUAGCCAGGGGUAGUGGCAUACACUGUCAUUUCAGUGACUCAGGAGAAUCUCACAUUCAAGGUCAGUCUCAGCAAUUUAGCAAGGCUCUGUCUCAAAAUAAAAAAUAAAAAGGACUGGGAAUAUACCUCAGUGGUAGAGCACCUCUGGGUUCAAGGUUCAAGCCCCAGUAUGGGGGGAGGGGAGCAAUCAAUGGAAAAUGGAAACCAUUUUAACAAAGUAAAAAAGAGUAUAUCAUCUCAUAAAAUCCAACAUUCCAUUCUUGAUCAAAACUGAACAAACUUAGAAGAUAAUCUCUUCACCCUGAUUAAAGGCAUCUAUUAAAAACCUACAUGGGCCAGGGUGUGUGGCUCAGUGAUGGAGUUCUUGCCUAGCAUGAGAGAGGCCCUGGCUCACUCCUCAGCAACUCAAAACCAAAAAAACAACUACAGUACCCAAAGGGAUUUAAAGAAGGUUUCAGACACACUUGCACAUGUUCACAGCAGCACUGUUCACAGCAGCCAGUAGGUGGAAGUGGUCCAGGGUCCACCCACUGAGGAAUGGUGAGCACAUGUGGCAGAGCCAUGCAGAGGACAUCAUUCACCCGAAGAAGAAUGACACUCGAUAGGUGCUGCAGCAUGAGUGGACUUAAAACACGUCGAAGAUAAGAGCCAGACCCACAGUGGCAAACCUGGUAUGCUACCACUUACCUAUAACUGGAACAGACAAACUGAUACAGAAAGCAAGGUCAGGCAGAGUGAGAGGAGAGAGAGAUUGCUUAAUAGGUAUUGAGAUUUAGCUUUGGAAGAUGAAAGGGUUUUGGAAAUUUGGUGACAGUUGCAUAGCAUUGUGAAUGUAGUUAAUGCCACUGAAUGGUACUUAAAAAAUGGUUCAGUGGCCAAACUUAUGUUUAUAUUUUAUCACAAUUUAAACACACACACACACACACACACACACACCCCUCAUACUUACUAGCCAAAGACUGAAUGCUUUCCCCUAACAAGAGGAGCAGAGCUCGGACCUUCAGUUAUACCCGCUGUGCACAGCAUCACACUGGAAGUUGAAGCUGGAUCUCAAUCAUGAUAAGAGAUAAAAGUCACACACCUUGGAGAGGAGGUAUGCAGUGGUUUUUAUUCACAGACAGUAUGAUCUGCAGAAUACUACUGGAAGAGUAUUCUAUAUACUGAAUUUAUUACAAGAUACAGGACCAAUACAUUAAAAUUUUAUCAAUUUGUAUAUACUAGCAACAAGCUAUAGGAAACUGAUAUUUUAAAAAUACCAUUUACAGUAGCAUUGACAAGUAUGAUAUACUGAGAGAACUCUAACAAAAGAUGUGUAAGACCUCUAUGCUGAAAAGUACAAAACAUUACUGAAAGAAAUAAAUAAAUGGUGAAACAUACCAUGUUUAUGGAUCUGAAACUCAGUGUUGUUAAGACGUCAUUUCCAUCCAAAUUGAUCUAUAGAUUCAACCCUAAUCAAAAUUUAAUUUUUGAUUUUUUUAAUUUUAGAAAGUGACAUGCUGAACUGGGGGCAGUGGUACAUAACUAUCACCCCAGCUGCUUGGGAGGCUGAGGCAGGAGGAUUGAAAGUUUGAGCCCAGCUUGAGCAACUUAGCAAGACCCUGUGGGGAUGUAGCUCAGUGAUAAAGCAACCCUGGAUUCAAUCUCUGGUGCAACAAUAACAACAAAAAGACUGAUUCUAAAGUUCAUGGG
rnacentral:lncRNA from 1 species